rnacentral:lncRNA from 1 species
AGUAGGAAACCUCUAAAGAUCCUCACACACUAGUGUAGUGAGAAGGAUGAAGGAAUAACCAAAAGGGUGUAAGAGAUGUUAGUAAAAACUCCCCUUUGGUGGCCGGCUUUUGUGGUUCAAGAGAGCUAUUUUCUUUUGCCUCUUUUGUUGUUCAAAACUCACAAAAACCCUAAUGAACAAUAUCUUAUAAAGUUGCUUAUAUAGACAAAAAGAAAACCUAGUCAACACUUGACUAAAUAUCUCUCCAAAACCCACAUAAUAUGGCCGGCCCUCUUGUGUUGUUUUUGGGCUUUGGGCUUUUAUUAUUUCAAGUCAUCCAAUGCUUGAAUAAAAGCCCAAUGGGUUUAGGCCCAAUGGGCCUAAUUAAACCCGAACGUUUCUUUAAGCCCAAAACGAUCUUUAUCGCUUUUAUGAAUUUCUUUAGACUUUUCUAAAUUAAAUCACACACAUAAUUAAUCCAAUUAAUUGUUCUCCAUCAUCCAUUAAUUACUCACUACAAUAGUGUAUUGGUGAACAACCUUUUAGGUUCUAAUUAGCAAGGCAGUGAGGUGAUUAGCAUUAAUCCAAUUGCUUAUAUUUAAUUCAAUCACUUAGUGAAUUAAAACCUCAUUUUAAUUCACCUUUCUUCUUUGACGACUACAUCUAAUCAUCUAGAAGAACUCACAACCUAUGAGUGACAUCUAACCAUAUGUCAUAGCUACCCAAGCUAAUGUAGAAGUUUAUUCGGAGAACCUAGUCAGUUGGAAUUACAAUGUAAUUCAAUCAUUCUCUAAUACAAUACUCUCAAUCACAUCAUUAGGGUAUGGAUAUAUCAUGUCAAACCCCUAAUGUGAUUAUUCCUUCUUAUAUGAUCCAAUUGAGUCGUUUAGGAACGCUUUCCUUUAUUACGCUCGAUACUUCGGCCGAAGAUUCCCGAAAUCAUAUCUUAGAGUAUUCUUCCUCUCUUAUCGAGGAUUAGAGAUUCCUUGUUGCGCAUACACUUGCCUUCAUGACUAAGUGGCUUAACCCCAAUUAUGUCGUGGACACCCUCGAAUGGGGAGACUUUGACAUAAUCAAAGAUUAAGUACUUAACCACAAGACAACGACGAUGCCUCAGGUCUAAGGAUUACUUACAUCUUUCCAACCAUUAGAGUUACUUGCUUGACAUGUGAGUAGACCUCCAUGCAAGUACUCCCGUUCGAUUAUGUUCAGUGAACUCAUUCCCUUAAUGAGCACCUACAUACUUGUCUUAGUGUCACAACACGAAUGGGAUGAGACUUUCCAUUCUUCCAAUUGAAGCAGACAUAGUAUGUACCGGUCUACGCAUUGUCAGUAUCCCUCCGACAAUCCAAUGACCAGGAACCUUUUUGGACAUCUGUUUAUGUGAAGAAGGUCUCUGUAGUCUUAACAUCAUUAGAUUACUUCUUCAAUCGAUCCAUUGUCCAUGGAUUCACUAUUCAGGACAUAUUUCGUUUAUUGAGAUAGUCCUAAUUAGUAUCUUUGCCAUUUGAUGUAUAAGAAUCAUCCAUACAUCGAUUCAUUUGUCCUGAAAGAUUUCUUCCAAAGAUUGACUUUCAGGGCAUAUUUCCAACAAUCUCCCACUUGCACUAAAGUCAAUCACUAGUGUAUCUCAUACAUCUUGUCGAGAGAGUUUAUGCUCGUAGGUUAACUUGGUUAUGUAUUAAUCUCUUUUAUUAAAAGAGAUUUACUUAUCAAAUGUUUCCAAGACAUUUGAUGAUGUCUCUUUAAUGUGUUCGAAUACUUUGAUGAGACCUUGAUUCCAUGGCUUGAGCUAUCGCCCCAUUACGUCGUAGUACUCUACUAACGACCUUAUGGUUUGGAUUCAAUCAUGGGUUCUAAAGAACCCCUUUCAUUCAAAACACCCUUUUGAAGCAGUUUCUAAAACUAUAUAUCGACAUAUAUUUCGUUUGUAUACUUUAUACAAACUUUGCUCCAAGCUUGAGACCAUUGUAGUACAAUACUAACAAUUCAUUCAUAUGAUUAGUACUUCAUCCAUCAUGAAGUUCCAUUUGUUAAAAUGGCUUAUUUUCACUUUGGUUAACAACCUAAGUGAAUGCACGCUUCCAGAGUCCCACUCUGAUGUUUCUUUCUUAAAGGCAAUAAUACUCUAUAAGUUGCUUUUGGUUCUGAUCCUGGGAUAUAUAGUAAUAUCUUAAAGUGACAAACUCAGUGGUUUCUUCACCUUUGGAUAUCUACUUCACAAGUCAACAUAUGUGUCCCUUUUGUGAUUUUAUGACACAUUCAUUAUAAGGGCUGUGAAAGUGAUUUCUUAUCACAUAGGAAAAUGCUUUCUUAAAUCUUCAACAUUUGAGAUUUAAUUCCCAUAUAACAUUAUUGAGAUAGCCUUGCUAUAUCAGUAAGUCCAAUUUCAAGUCUAUACUUCAAAAUUGACCGUGUCAUGUUUUGUCAUUUUCGAGUAACAUCUAUGUUUCAUCAAGUCUAUCAAAUAGACUUUAUUCACAUCUUGUUGCUCAAAUUAUGACAUCACUCCCACUGGCCUUGUUGUAACUUAGCAUUCAUUCAAAAUUAACACUUAUAUUUUCUUGAUUUGAAUGCGUGUUGCUCCCACUAACUUGUCUUGGAUCCAUUGAGAAUUAUUGAGAUCCAUUAGCUUAUUGAUGAUGUUCUCAACAAUUUUGAGACCAUCAACAACCCUAGUUAACACAAGUUAUUUAAAUGAAUCACAUACAAAAGAAUUCCUUCUAAAGUAAUUCCUUUUGAAUAUGUGACUUGUUUUAUCAAGUCUAUUCAUUUAAUUAUACGAUGUCAUACACCAUACUAAAAGUUUUAGUCAUACUAAGACCUUUAAUGUAGUCAUAUAAGAAUUAUCUAAUUCCUUAGUGGAAGUAUGGCUCCUACUAAGGAUAUAGAUUCUCAACCAUUCCUUCUAGGUGGUUGAUAUAAUUCUCUAUCAAAACUACAUAGAGCAAUAUCGUUACAUGAGAUGUUGAAUUUGGAUUGUCGGGUUGUUAAACCAUAUGUUGUGACUCAUUUUUGAAACUUAUUCCCUUUUGUUUCAUCAACUUGUCCAUAUGCUUUGUUAUUAGCAUGUUCUCAUAAAAGAGAAUGAUGGACAACUCCCAACAUAUAACCAUUUUAUGCUAGGUUGACGAAACCAACAUUCAAAGACUAUUCUUUAAAUGUUACACAACAUAGAUUUUUAACGUUUGAAGAGCUUGAGUCCUUUUAACAAUUAAAAUUACAAACUCUUAAUAAUAGUCAAGUACUAUUAUUCUUUAGAUAACUAUAAACCAAUCACAUUCAAGUUUAUAUCCAUUUUCACACCUCCCACUAUUUCUCAUGACUUUAAUGAGAAAUCAUUUCAUUCAUUCAAAAUGUAUAAAAUUGGAUUAUAUUGGUAGAAGACAUUGUGUAGUAGCUUUGAAACAUUUCAAGCUUAUUUGUUUCAAUCUUCACUAAGUUUAAUGUCUUGUUAUUUAAGUGACUAAAGUCUUUAAACCUUUUAUAGAUUUAGACACUUCUUUCUUGGUUUAAUUACUAACACCAUUGACAUUUUAAAACAAUUUUAAGAAUGCCCAAUUAAUUGUUCAAAACUACUAAUUGAAUCAAGAGUAAUCUUGAUCAUUGUGUUUCAAGUGAUAACCAUAUAAGAAACGUUUUUCUUAUUACUUAUAUCAUUGUAAAUGUGAUCUUUCCUUUUCUUCAAGAAAGGAUUCUCUAGACUUUUGUCAAUUCAUAUAGAACUCAUAAGUAGACAAAUGGAACCAAAUCUAAAGAUUCAUUGUAUCCUUUUAUGUCUUACAUGUAAGAUCUAUCCAUAAUUGAUAAAUCUAAAGUUUAGUUUAUCACAUUACAAUUAAGUGAUAUAACUCUUGUAUCUCAUCUAGGAUACAACAAGACAAUUUUCAAUUCAUAACACUACUUUAAGGAAAUAGUAUAUUAAAAAGGCAUACUUCACAUUACAUUAAUAUGAUAGUUCAAACAUUCAUAAUGUUUAAUACAAAAGGUAUUAGCUCUAUACAUUUAGAGACUAAUAUAAAUGCCUUUAUACAUUUAGGCACUAAUAAUGGCCUUCCAUCAAAUGAAGCCAUAUAAUUAGUUCUUAACAAAAUAAGAAAGUUUAAAGACAAUCUUUAAAUGCCUAACAAACUUCCUAAGUAGUAAGCAAAAAAACAUGGUGGCCGAACUCUUCUCCACACUUUUCCUUGCUUGUUCCUCCUCUUCUACUUGGCUCCUCCACCUAUAUACAAUUAUACAAGUGAUUAGCCCUUUAUAUAUCAAAUAUAAAUAUUUAGAAGAUCUAACAAUUAGAAUUGAAGAUAAGAACACAAACCAUACCUUGUGGCUUGUCCUUAAGAGUUGCAAGGUAUAACCUGCAAUUCCUCUUCCAAUGCCCCUCCUUUCCACAGUGGUGGCAAGUCCCUUUGGGCUCCAUUGCCUUCUUUUUCCUCACUCCUCCUUUCGGCUUAGGAGUGGGGGACUUCUUCUCCUUCCCUUUGCCUUUGCCUUGCGGCUUGGCCUUGGAAGAGGAUGGCUUAUUGUAGGCUACUGCAGCAGUCCCUACAACGUUCUCUUUCUUCAUAGUCUUCUCGGCGGUUACUAACAUGUUUAGUAACUCGGAGAGAGUGCUAUCCAUCUUAUUCAUGUUGUAGUUCAUUACGAACUGCGAGAAUGAAUCAGAAAGAGAAGCCAAUAUGAAGUCCUGGGCUAAUUCCCCGUCAAGUGGAGUACCAAGGUUCUCCAAUUGUUCAAUGAAUCCUAUCAUCUUCAGUACAUGUUGAUGCACUGGAGCCCCCUUGACCAUCUUGGUCUUUACAAGUUCACAGACAGUGCUAAAGCGACGGUUGCGCGUCCCUUCACCAUAUAACUCCGUAAGAUGGAGUAUUAUGGAAGAUGCACUGUCCAUGCCCUCGUGCUGUCUCUGUAGCUCCUCAUUCAUGGAAGCCAACAGAUAGCACUUGGCUUGUGUAUCAUCCUCAACGUGCUUGUCAUACUUAGCACGUUCAUCCUCAGUGGCGUCAGGGCCAAGAGGUAUGUAAGGUGGAGCCUUGUCUAGUACGUAAACAAUCUUCUCCAAUGUUAGGAGAAUCUUGACAUUACGAUACCAUGAUGGGAAAUUGUGCCCCUCUAGGCAAUGUUUGUCGAGUAUUUUUUCGCGAGUGUGCUUCCAACCAUAUCUAUAUACAUAAACAAAUAAAAUAAUUAGAUUGAUUGUUGUUUAAGUCAAACGAUUUGGGUCUUUAAACCGAAUGACACCACCCACCAUUUUUUUUUGGCAAAUUCCAUAUCCCCCAUAAUGGAAUCCGGGAGAUUUCAAAGAAAGCUCCUAGCGGGUUAUGGGAGGCUCACUAUUACCAAGCCCACCUCACGAUGAUACGAUGUCGGCUAGCAACAAUAAUAAUGAGAGGGUACAAGUACCCAUUCACAACAACCUCUUGUGAUUACCCAUCUUUUUGGCCUCUAGAAAAUAAUACCUCACGAUGAUACGAUGUUGGCAUUAUGUUUCUUAGUUAAGUUCUUUCCCACCAUGCCGGUUUAGCUAGGGGUUAAAGCAUGACCUCACGAUGAUACGAUGUUGGCCAUACUCGUUGCCUACCUUAACCUCAUCAAAUGUUUUAAAUAAACUCCUCCUAAAUAUAAGCAUGCACUUUGUCACUUCCCCAUGAUAGGGUGAAGGCGGUGUACAAGUCAUAAACGCUUGGAGCCUACCACGGUGGAAGGCCACGAAAAAGUGUUCUAAGCACUUUUACGCUUACAACUUAAUAUUGUUUGGUUGAGGGAUUUUAAGGUCUCAUCAAUUUUAUUUAUUUAAUCAAAAUCAAAUAAAUUGUCCUAUUAUAACUACUAGUCCAAAGUUAAUGAAUUUAGUAGCAUAUAAUAUCCCCACUAUUCGUUUUCAUAAAACAAAUCAAUAUCAAAACAUUUUUCAAAAUAUUGGAGAUAUUAAUAUAACUACUAAUAGUAUUCAUUAUAGUCUAGUAGCGUAUGAUACUCCCACUAUUUGUUUUGAGAAAAACAAAUCAAUAUCAAAAACAAAUUUUUCAAAUAUUGGAAGUAACUACUACUACUAUGGUUUUUGCAUUCCUUUGAAAUUGGACUUUAUAGUUAUCUUAGGCUCUUGGAUGACUAUGGACUUAUUAGGUUAUUGCAACAACGAGCCAUCAUUGUUGAAUAUAAACUCGGGGAGGUUGUGUCAAUUUAAUUACGUGCUUAUCAAUCCAAUUAAAACCAUUUUAAUUGAGCCAUUAGAAAUGAAAGACAAUCAUACAUUGCUAAUUUGGGCAUUGGACCCUUUUAAUCUUUAAUCUCAUGUCAAAACCCUCUUUUAGUUAUGUCUCCUUACCAAUAGUUAAAGAAACUCUAGUCUAGCACUAGAGGGAAUCCACUAACGAAUAGAGAUUAAGAAGUAAUAAGAAUUACAAACCGAUUUGUACAAAUUCCUAUAAAUUACAUAUACUAAAAGGGGAGAGAAAGAUUAACGUCAAACGUGGCAAGGUCCAAUUAAACAGUAAUUAAAACACAUUCCCAAGGUUCAAACAAUUUGAUUUUAGCGCCUUGUCAUAUAACUCAAUUAUCGUUUAAGGCAUAAGUCCAAAGUCAUCCAUUUCAUAACUACUUAAACACAUUUAAAUAAUCAUGAUGGAAUACAACAUAAACAUUUAGAUUUAGUGCAUAUGGGCAUAAUAGUAUUAUGAGUUUAAACAACUAACAAAAUUAAAAUCAAAUAUUUUAACUUUCUAGUUAGUAGGGGCCUAAAUGUAAAUAUGAAAAGUUAGGGGUAAAACCGUAAAUAUUUCAAAGUAAAUAUCAACUUUUUAAAGAUUACAAAAUAGCCCCACAAGUGGAUAAAUCCACUAGGGAGGCCGGCCACAUUAAGGGGAUGGGAGUUCUCUUACACAAUCUUACACAACAUGCAUUAAAAGCCACCUUAUGUAAGAAAAAUUAAAUUUUGCUUGUCACUUGGUUUUGCCAUUAAAACUUAGGUGAGAUGGGUGAUGGAAAUCCUCCUAGUCAAGUCUAGGGUUUUAUAAGUUUGUUUUUAAUAUGGUUAUGGAUGGUAAGAACAUCAUCCAAAACCAUAAAACCAUGCAUGAAAACCAAUUAAAACUAUUUUCACCCAAAACCAAACCAUGAACACCAAGAACAAAACCAUGAACACAAUUUCAAGAUUUGUACAUUCUUGGUGAUUUUUCAAACCCAAAAACAAAAGUGACAAGAACACUACUUUUAAGCUUUAAUAGGAUGUGUGAGUGGUUUACAAUAAAACACAAACACAACCCAAAAAACCACCCCCAAAACCGUGCCUACCCUUUUGAACAAACCCCAAAUUUUGUUCAUGACUUAUUCUUCAUUCAUGCAUACAAAACAACUUUUACAUGCAUAUCUUUUUCAACUCUUGAUUUACAUUUUUCAACCAUUGAAAAACAAAAGACAAACAUACUUUUAAAUGAAGAAAUAAUAUGUCAAACUAGUUCUAAACUCAUUUUUCAUUCAUGUAUACAAAACACUUUUGCAAACAUAUCUUUCUCAACUUUUGACUAACAUUUUUUCAACUAUUGAAAAACAAAAGACAAACAUACUUUGAAUGAAACAAUAAAUAUGUCAUGCAUAACAUUAAUACCCAUAUGCAUAAAAUCCAAAAGGACACAUUAUACAUAAACCAUUGGCUCUGAUACCACUUGAAGGGAAAAUUAUGAGAUUCUAGAAUGGGAUUUCAUAAUGACUAUCAUGCAUAUACAAAUCAAAAUUUAAUAUACGAAAGCAGCGGAAGCAUUUAUAACAUAUUAUCAAAGCUAUAGUCAUGCAAAUCCCCUUCAAGGUUCAUAGGUUUAUAUAUAAUGCAUCAAAACAAUUUUUAGAAACAAGAACAAAGUGAAGGUUAGUCUUAUACCUCUUGAUCUAGACUUAAGACCAAGGAUGGACCACCUCCAAGGCCUUUGCUCCUUGAAAUCCUUGAGCCUAGCUUCCCUCCUUGCCUCCUCCACUUUGUUACAAUGAGUGCUCCUAGGUUCUCUUCAAGUUCCCAAAGUAGGAAAACCUCUAAAGAUCCUCACCCACUAGUGUAGUGAGAAGGAUGAAGGAAUAACCAAAAGGGUGUAAGAGAUGUUAGUAAAAACUCCCCUUUGGUGGCCGGCUUUUGUGGUUCAAGAGAGCUAUUUUCUUUUGCCUCUUUUGUUGUUCAAAACUCACAAAAACCCUAAUGAACAAUAUCUUAUAAAGUUGCUUAUAUAGACAAAAAGAAAAACCUAGUCAACACUUGACUAAAUAUCUCUCCAAAACCCACAUAAUAUGGCC